rnacentral:rRNA from 1 species
ACGCUGGCGGUAGGCCUAACACAUGCAAGUCGAACGGCAGCACAGUAAGAGCUUGCUCUUAUGGGUGGCGAGUGGCGGACGGGUGAGGAAUACAUCGGAAUCUACCUUUUCGUGGGGGAUAACGUAGGGAAACUUACGCUAAUACCGCAUACGACCUUCGGGUGAAAGCAGGGGACCUUCGGGCCUUGCGCGGAUAGAUGAGCCGAUGUCGGAUUAGCUAGUUGGCGGGGUAAAGGCCCACCAAGGCGACGAUCCGUAGCUGGUCUGAGAGGAUGAUCAGCCACACUGGAACUGAGACACGGUCCAGACUCCUACGGGAGGCAGCAGUGGGGAAUAUUGGACAAUGGGCGCAAGCCUGAUCCAGCCAUACCGCGUGGGUGAAGAAGGCCUUCGGGUUGUAAAGCCCUUUUGUUGGGAAAGAAAAGCAGUCGAUUAAUACUCGGUUGUUCUGACGGUACCCAAAGAAUAAGCACCGGCUAACUUCGUGCCAGCAGCCGCGGUAAUACGAAGGGUGCAAGCGUUACUCGGAAUUACUGGGCGUAAAGCGUGCGUAGGUGGUUGUUUAAGUCUGUUGUGAAAGCCCUUGGCUCAACCUGGGAAUUGCAGUGGAUACUGGGCGACUAGAGUGUGGUAGAGGGUAGUGGAAUUCCCGGUGUAGCAGUGAAAUGCGUAGAGAUCGGGAGGAACAUCCAUGGCGAAGGCAGCUGCCUGGACCAACACUGACACUGAGGCACGAAAGCGUGGGGAGCAAAC